GGUCCAACAGGGGGCGCCGCGUUGGAACGCCCAAAGGGGUUGGGGGUUCGGGUGCGGUGGGCGAGCAAGCGAGUGUAUGGCGGCCAGGCCCAGAAGGCCACGAGGACCGCUGGCGCCGAGGCGUCAGUCUUUCAGACUCCAAAAGUAGCAAAGGCCGAGCGAGGAGGUUAGGGGCUCCCAAAGGCCAGCCCUUGGGGCUGUUGAUGGCCAGGCUAACCCGACAGGAGGCGCCGCUGCCACCGAGUGACUGGCUACCAGAUUCUGAAACCCUAAGUGCCUUGGAUGAGUGGGGCUUAAGAGACCACAGAACUGGGUCAAGGAUUAAGCUCAGUGGCACCACACCUGCCUUGCAAGCUCAAGGUCCUGGGUUUGAUCCCUGGUACCAAAAAAAAAAAAAAAAAUUAGAGGCCACAGAACUACAGCCAGACAUUUGAGGAAGCAGCAAAUACAAAAGACAGCUGAGUGGCCUGGCCAAAGACAGCUGAGAGAUUUGGUGUGGUGAGAGCCGAGGAUGAGCACCACGUGGAUGGACUGGAGGAUCAUCUUGGUCAGCCAGAUCAUCAGGAGGACUGGAGAAGGCACGCCAAGGUGCGCUACCGGAUUGUGGCUACCUGCUGCACACUGGUCAGCAAGGCAGUUUCCCCGCCGCCCGCCCGCCGGAUGAAGAUGGCAGGAGCGAGCCACCUCUCGGCUCCCCUUCCCAGCAUCCAAGCCCCGGCGGGCCAGAUGCGACACCUUUUCCCCGGCCAGGGCCACGCUCCUUCAGACUCGAGGUACUGUGCCCUCGCAACAGACGCGACCCGCACUCCACCCUACUCCCCUUUCCGCCCAAGACCACCGCGCAGACCCUGCGGUCGCUUUUCUCCUUCAUCCUAGCGCUGCGCGCCAGCAGCCCAGGAACUUCCAGCCGAGCCGCAGGCAGCCCCGCCGCCUUAGCAGCUGCGCGAAAAGGAUGGCGAUGCCCCGACGUGAUCGAGUCCGCGCUGCCAACCCGAGUAGCCCCAAGGGUACCUCCAAAAGUUUCUGUACCUCUACCCGCAGCCCUCUUAAGGACCGGCGAUUGGACCAGGAGAGGUUGGCGCUGUGGGGCACUGACAGGUGCGCGCGCUCUUUUCCGUGCUGGGGACCCACGAGUGCCUGAAAGGUGGUCAGUCGUGGCUAAGAUUGGUGCACAGCGGCGGAGGGCACUGGCUCUAAAUUAGCAGCGCGAGAGGAGCUGGGUUCCCGGCUCCGAGCCCGCCCGGCCCGGCCCGGCGCGCGCCUGCUACUUCCCUCCGGAACCGGCAGUCUCUGGAGUUCUCGCCCAAUCCCUUUCUGGUUACUUUUCGCACAUUACAACAGUGUCUACUGCUCGGCGGCUCUGGAACAGAGAAAGCUGGCGCGCGCACCUCCAAGCCACAUUUCGGGCACUCGCCCAAACCAACUUAUUUGAGACGAAGGUUUGGAGGAGGAGGGAAAAACAUGCAUAAAACAAGUGACUUACCAUUGCCGCUUUGGUGUGCAGCUCACAACCCUAGUGUGCACAGGAUUCAGUUCCUUGACCAGGGCACCGGCUCGGGGACCUCAGGAUCAACAGGAGUUCCAUGGUUCUGUUCCUUUUCUCUGGCCAACCCGAGGAUUUCAGAAAAGGCUUCUCUGAGCUUGGCUUCUUACUCUACUUGCCUAGCUGAUGGUCCUGAAGAAGUAGACUUGGGCAGGUGAUCUGUCUAAGAUCAAGCACAAAGGCCUUGGAAAUAAGGACACCAAACCUAUUUCAUUAACAGCCUUCUCACCAUCCUAAAGAUUGCCCAUAACUGUGAAUGUCGCUGAUGGCUGCUCUGGCCACUAGAAGAAAGGCAUCGAGUUGAAGAGUUCUCUUGGGAGGAUGUGUGUGGUUUUGUUUGUCUUACUAAGCCCUCCCCCCACAUUUCUCUUUCUUCCUUUCCCAAGCUUUUCUUCUUUUAGGAACCUUUGGCACCUCCAUUGUGUCAUCUUGAAAGUCGUGGUGUCACUCUGUGUGCCCUCACUAAGCCUCCUGCAGGAGUGCUUUCCCUGAUUCAAAUUGGCGCUGCUUCAGCUUCUCCUGGGCAGGAGCAUAACCUUUGCCCCUCUACGGGAAAGCUUCUCACAGCAAGGAAGUUUGGGCACCCAGUCCUUGUGGAGAGCUCCCAGCACUUCACUUGGUGAAGCCCACAAAUCCAGCAUGCGGCCCAUUCUCACUUUACUUCUUCAGCUUCUAAUGUAGUCACUGCUUGGGCAUUACACAGGAAGAUGGACAACCUCCGCCUCCACCCAGACAACGCUGGCCCCUGCACCUCUUCUCGUUCCAGUGGGCAUUUCCUUCAAGCGAUUGCCAUAGCUUGCUUUCAUAGCGUGACAUUACCUCCCGUCUUCUCGGCUCCCCGCUGCAUUUCAGCCCCCACAGGACAGCUGUGCCUUUCUCACCCGCUCAACAGAGUAGACAUUCAGGUAAUUGCUGGAUGAAUGGACAGACAGCAGAAGGAUUCACAGACACAGACAAGGCAGGUGAGGCACCGCAGAAGCAGAGUGGCUACUACACGGAGAAAGCAAGCAGGAGCUCUGGGGUGGCCAGAAGGAGUUGGGGCCAGGGGUGUCCCCCAGCUGUCCUGAAUGCAGAAGUGGGGCAGGACUCCCAACCCUUAGAGCAAACCAAUUCUCUUGGAAGUGUUGGCCCCACUACCAGAACACCCCCACCAGAGUUGGCAGGCUUCUAGGGGCUCAAGGACCCCUGAGUUCCAUUCUUGAGCCCUCUCGGGCUAUGGGCCUGAACGGGCACUAAGGUGGAGCUCGUCUGUGCCUGCUGUGCAGGUCAGGCUGACCAGUGCCAGGGGCUGUCAGUGGACGUGCUGGGAGCCAAGCUCUCCAGGAGACAGCAGGCUGAGGACCUCUGUCCUGCCAGGACCCCUCAAAUGAUACCAGUCAGGCCUGAGUCAUCCAGCCCCCCACCACAGCUGGGG
ensembl:lncRNA